GUGCUCGCUUCGGCAGCACAUAUACUGAAAUUGGAAUGAUACAGAGAAGAUUAGCAUGGCCCCUGCGCAAGGAUGGUGGCAAUUUUGAUUCAACUGGUGUUU